UAGGGAAUCUUCCGCAAUGGGCGAAAGCCUGACGGAGCAACGCCGCGUGAGUGAAGAAGGAUUUCGGUUCGUAAAGCUCUGUUGUUAGGGAAGAAUGAUUGUGUAGUAACUAUACACAGUAGAGACGGUACCUAACCAGAAAGCCACGGCUAACUACGUGCCAGCAGCCGCGGUAAUACGUAGGUGGCAAGCGUUGUCCGGAAUUAUUGGGCGUAAAGCGCGCGCAGGUGGUUUAAUAAGUCUGAUGCGAAAGCCCACGGCUCAACCGUGGAGGGUCAUUGGAAACUGUUAAACUUGAGUGCAGGAGAGAAAAGUGGAAUUCCUAGUGUAGCGGUGAAAUGCGUAGAGAUUAGGAGGAACACCAGUGGCGAAGGCGGCUUUUUGGCCUGUAACUGACACUGAGGCGCGAAAGCGUGGGGAGCGAACAGGAUUAGAUACCCUGGUAGUCCACGCCGUAAACGAUGAGUGCUAGGUGUUGGGUCCUUUCCGGGAUUCAGUGCCGCAGCUAACGCAUUAAGCACUCCGCCUGGGGAGUACGACCGCAAGGUUG
rnacentral:rRNA from 1 species